UACGUAGGGUGCAAGCGUUAAUCGGAAUUACUGGGCGUAAAGCGUGCGCAGGCGGUUAUGCAAGACAGAUGUGAAAUCCCCGGGCUCAACCUGGGAACUGCAUCUGUGACUGCAUGGCUGGAGUGCGGCAGAGGGGGAUGGAAUUCCGCGUGUAGCAGUGAAAUGCGUAGAUAUGCGGAGGAACACCGAUGGCGAAGGCAAUCCCCUGGGCCUGCACUGACGCUCAUGCACGAAAGCGUGGGGAGCAAACAGG
rnacentral:rRNA from 1 species